GAGAGAGAGAGAGAGAGCGCAUUCACAGUAUUCAGAGGAAUCAGUACUUAAUAGUAAACCUGCUGGUUAACAGUGGCUCACAAACUACAUUUGACCUAUGGGUUCUGUUUAUCAAUGGAUCUAGUCAGUAAACACUGAAGUAGUAUGCAUUAGGCAUCAAUGAAAAUUCCCUGAAGCUUUUUCCUAGUACUGCUAUAACAUGAUACUGCAAGAAUGUAGCCCCCCCGAAGCACCCAGCGCCUGCCUGCAAGGCUCAGCUUCAAGUCUUUCCUGUUCUCCUACCUGUAACACUCGGGACGGGGGUGUCUAGGAAAGAGAGGCGGUCUUCAAAAUGUACCACUAUAGGGGAUUUCUUUAGAAAGAAGCAUGCAUGUUAUUAAAUUUCUUGCUGGAGAGAUGGCUCAGCUAUUAAGGGCACCUACCGCUCCCGCAGAGGGUCUGGGUUCGGUUCCCAGUACCCACACCAGGGCAGCUCACUAAUGCCUCUAACUCCAACUCUAGGGGAGCUGACACCUCUGCUGGCUUGGCGGGGUUACUUUCUGCUGGGCUUCCUGUAAGAGACAGCUCUUUUCCGUCUGCUCUGCAGUGCCCUUAAGUCCUUCAGAGAACGGCUGCUUAGUUACCUCUGAGUGGCUGAGUCUGUCUCCUGAAAACCGUAUGGCUUCUCAGGCUCAUUCCAGGUCAGCUAAGAGAAUGCAAGAAGUCAAGUGUGACAACUGCCAGGCUGCCAGGUAGGGGACUUUCAGUUCCAGUCCUUCAACCUAUACGUAGAUCACAGUCGACUUGCAAACCUCCAGUUAUAUGAAGAAGGUUACAUGUCAGCAAAAAAGCUCUCUAUGGCACUGGGAAAAACAGGGCCAUGACAAAGCAUGGUAAAACUUCAGGGGGCCAGGGGUCUUCUGAAGGCAAGCUUUGCAUUCUCCGGGUAUGGCCACCACAUAUUAGACAGUAAAACAUAGAAUGCCAACAUGCCAGUGGGCUGCACAGAACAAACGUGGCAUGAACUCCAGUAGUUCUCUAAUGAGAAGCAAAAACAAAGUAUAAAAUGAUGCUAACUCUAUUAAACAAUGUGGGCAUUGCUAUGAUACCGAGAAAAAUGAGUACAGGACACGGGACUCCUACAAUGCUAGUUUAACCCUCUCUAUAAUUUAUGAAUGCUCAGAAAGCCGCCACUGUGAGAAGCUGUGCCCCGUUUACUGGGCUGUGUGGAGCAGUAGCUCUCCCAGAAUGCUCACUUUUGUUAAAACGCUCAUGCCACAUUCUCUUUAGGUGGCUUUAUUUUAGGAGCGGUGAGGAUUCUCUUCUCUCUGAAGGGGUGGCGUGAAUACAUAGGUAAUUUUGUAAACCAUGUGUGAAGAAUUUGAGCAGCUGACAGAUACUUAGAAACCAUUCAGGAUUAACAAUACUGUCAGAAAGAAUGUUAGGAAAAGAAGCGGAAGUGUGGGAUGUGAUGGUUGAUCUGCAGGGUCAGCUGGACUGGAGUGACCAUCACCAGGGAAAUAUACUUCUAGGUCUCUGUAAGGGCAUCUCUCAAGACCUUUCAUGAGGAGGAAGAGCACUCUGAAAGCUGGUGGUGCCGUUCUAUGGGCUAGGGUCCUUGGCUGAAGGAAAAGGGAGGGGAGAGAACAGGAGGACCCCUCUUUCCAUUUCUCGGUUGCAGCCAUGAUUGUUCUACUUCAUGGGCCCUAGGCUGUUCCUUUCACUUGAGAACCUGGACGCCCAAAGCCAAGAAAUAGUUGAAAAGUGAGACUAAUUAAACGACACAAUAUUUAACUAGCUAAUCCAAGAGCCAGGGACUCAGACAAACCACAGUGUCUUGGAUUUGUUAUGUAUUUCAGUUUGCUAUUGAUGGUGUCAGUGUUCCCCCAUCAGCUAAUAGAUCCCAUGUUCAAAACUGUAGAGGGGAAAAAAAAACACCUAUAGAUGUUUCAUUGGCAAUUUGUAUGCUAAAGAUGAUGUGAGUGUUUGGACACACUGGGAAAGAUAUGUAGACCUCCCCACCCACAAACACGUAUAUUCAUAGACGCAUAGCUGUAAACUCUGUUGGCUCCUGGCUCCCGUUCUUGUAGCCCUUGAUAAACAGGAGAGUUAUAAUCAUAUAAAAGGUCUUUAUAGGAGUGAAACUCUUUCAACAUUGGAUCGCUUUAUAUCGUUGUGAGACAGUGGUUUAGGAGGAAAAAAAGAAGGAAAUUCCAAGAUGUGAAUGGUAUUUAGACCUCUUAAUUUUUUUUUCCUUCAAAGGAAGAGAUAAAAAAAAAAAAAAAGAACAAAAUCAUGUUUUCCUAUCCAGCGCAAUGGCAUGCAGAAGGACCAUGGGCAAGAAAGUAACGUUGCAAAGACUAAAUUGAAGAGCCCAGUGCCUCUUGCCCCUUUCAGGGAACAUGUGGGUCUAAAAGAAGGAAAAUCCAGUAUAAAAACAAAACAAAACAAACAAACAAACAAACAAAAAACCACCACCACAACAACAACAAAACAAAAAACAAAAGCAUUUUUGUUUGAUGCUGAACAAAAAGCAAGCUUGAAAAUUUGGGGCUGCCGCACAAGUGAAUGAAGAAGACCGAUGUCUCUCCCUCCAGCGCAGCUCAGACCCACCAUCUCAGGGGCCUCAUGCUAACUCUGCACGAGGAUGCUAGGUAUCAAAACACCCAGUUAACAGCAAAGCUCGCCAGUAAACCUUCCUUUUCUCAAAGCCUUAAACAAAUAGUGAUGCCUUGUUCAAUGUCACCUUUCUUGCCCUUCCCAAGUUUCAAAAUUCAAGGUGAUACAUAAGAUUUAUGCCGUUAGAAAAAAAAAGAUAUUGAUUAUUUCACAUAUAGAACUUUGGUCGCCUUUUCCUUUCCCAAAGUCAGUUUCUGUUAUUGAUUUUUCCCAAAGGUUAGGAACAAUAUAUCAAGGAAAUAUUACCUAAUACUUGGGGCUUGCAUAGGAAACUUGCAUUUCCGCUUUUCAUUCUUUGAGAGGAGGAAAUAGGCUAUUUAGUUAUUUCGGAGGCACAGAGUCUGCAAAGGGGCUGGCAGGAGGAGAGACAGUCAGGGUACCUCUUCAGGCUGAGUGUCACGGACUGUGUAAUUUCAGCAGGCAAAAGCAGAGAGAGCUUAUACGAGCGCUGGCUCCUCCAAGCUCUCUCCUCUGCACCCAUUAGAGUUGGAAGUGAGCCAGGCCUGCAGAAGGGCAGGUGUGGGCACAUUUUUCAGUCUUUUGUAGACAGUCCCAGAAGGACUGGGGUGGUGGUGUUGGCCAUGUCCUUUGACUUAACUCCAGGAGUGAGGAGGAGCAAACCGGAGAACCCUGUCUAGAGGUCAGUAGACCCCUUUCAGAGAUUUAUUUACAAACCAAGGAAGAGUGAAGAUAGAUUACUUCCUACUGUCCAGCCACAGGAAAGACACAUCUGUGCAGACAUAAGACAUACAUCAGAGAACAAAGGAGCUCCUGGAGGCACCUCUUUCUUAGAAGCAUCCAACUAUGUCAGGACUCAUACACAAUACCGUGGGCUCCGAAAAUGGCCUCUGCCGGUUUAGCUUCUCUGAACUGUCACCCCCGUCCAUCUUUCGAGAUUUUCUUUCACCUAUGGACCAUAGAACAAUUUCUGUUUCCUACCCAAACACCUUACACUUUGGUGCAUGCUACGUCCCGACACUUCACCAAAGUUCAUUUAAUGGAUCAGCGACUUACUGAGGCAAGGGCAGCCAGCCAGUUUAGCCAGCGGCUCAGUGACUUGAUUGAAUAGUCUCCUCCAAGUCAACUUUCAACUGAGUUUUGUAUAAAAUGGACUAGAAGCAGGCAUUCCUCAGAGUGCUUGACAGAAAUGGCUUGAAAUACCUUGAAGAUUUAUUUCCCAGUGUGGAUUAGCUACUUCAAUAUACAUCCUUUUAGAAAGAUCUAAUUGAAAUAGAUUUUGUUUUUACAAAAGAAAAAGAAAGAACGAAAGAAAAAGGAAAGAAAAGAAAAUCAAACCAAGAGCUCACGCAUGGCUGGCCUUUCCUCCCCACCAUCCACCCGGGAGCCAGACCAUCCACUCCCGCUCCUGUGGAGUUCUCGCAGGUUGCCUGAUGUGUUUAUCAGUGCACAAAUGUGUUGACGCUCUGGCCUCACCAGGCACAAGAGAAAUAAAGGAAGAAAAGUCCAGACAAGACAGGGGCAGACAAGUACACAGCACAGGAGAGCGCCUCCUAUGGGACAAGAGAGAUGCUACGAGGAAGUGGCACCUUCACCUCUGCUUCUCAGGGUAUUUACAGUCAACUAGAAGACCAAGAACCAGAAGAGAGGAGGCUGUGCACAAAUCCCAUAUGUAAGCCAUGAGAACAAAAAUUUAAAGUGGCGGUAAAGACCAAAGGCACUUAAAUGCAUGGCCAAGACAUUCAAAGGAAUGAGACACAGAGAGCCGAACAGGAAACACUGUCUAUGAGACGGCCCAUGCCACAGGCUGACUUGGGGGCACAGCCCUCUGUGGUGCUGGUCACUUGGGAGCAAGGUUAACUCCAGGGUGGACACAUUCUUACACAGAAGCAGUAUGAAGGCUAGGUUCUCCGAGCCCAAACAGUGUUUUUAUAUUACAUCAUAUUUCACUAUAAAAAUAGAGCAAGUUCUUCUAAAACUAUAACAAAUUUUAGGCAAAAUUUUACCUCAUGUUUUAAUCUGGCUUUUUUAAAAACGCCUCUAUAAAGUAAAGCAUUUCACUUCCUUUAAUCACUCUAUCUGCAGGCUGUAGACAUAGCAUCAGUUUCGCUUAAGAUCAUUAAGAAUCGAGACACUGGGUAACGGGGUAGCAGGCGCUAACUGGACUGCUGAAAUGGCGCUUAGACCUUGAUACCACCUAGAAAGAUAGGAAAGAUAGGAGCGAGAUUGGAAAUUGUAUUGGAAAGAACUGCGUUAUUACUAUCCAGAGCAGCUGUUUAAUCCCAUGCCUACCCUGUCCCAGAACCACUGGGCCACAGCAUGAUAGUUACCUAGUAACAUCCUGAGGGGGCAGGGGACAGAAAAUAAGAAUGUGUCCAAUAAAUUCCUAUUAAUAACCAAUUUCCCUAAACGUUGUCUUGAGUUGCUACUUUAAUUUUCUGCCCUUCUUCCCAAACUACUGUCACUCACAAAGAACUCACCAAAGUAAAGACUUCUGGGGGCUUCCACGGAGAGAUACAGAGGUUCUUCUUUUAGUUUUGGUAGUAUCCCCACCCCGAGGUUAUUAAGUGCCGAGCGGUAACUGGGAUAAGAACUCUAGGGCUCAGGACUCCCGGAUGUGGAUCUCUCUUUUCCUGAGAACAGAGUCCUGGCACUUGCUUUCCCAUUCAGACCCUGCUCCUGCCUCAGUAGCCUCACAGGAAAGUGCUAGUUAACACUGCCUGGGUUCUGGCGUGUUUUAGUUCAUCAGCGAUUGCGAGAGAAACUCAAGUUGACAAGAUCCCUGAUCUUUAAUGCACCCAGCCAUCACAACACUCUCAUCUGAUGUUGGUCAACUGGACUGGCUUUUAGACAAUGGAUUUUCAUCCUAAGCCUAUAAUACCUUAUAGAUAGGAUUUUCUGCCUUCAAAGAACCUACAGUAUAAACAAAAGAGAACAUAAAGCCCUUACUCUACAGAACUGGAUGUCUAACACAGUUUGUCAUUUUGGGUCUUCUUGAAUGCCCUUGUCCUUUUCCCAUACUCCCCCUUAGCCAGUACCACCAACAAAAUCAACAUCAAACAAAAUAGCCUCCAAGAACUGGAUUUUUCUUUUUUAGUUGAACCACCUCGCAACUCUGAAUCGAAAUGCAAAUGGGCGCCUUGAGUUGCCUUCCCAUUGAAAUAUAAUAAGCCUAACCAUCCGUAUCUCCCCAAGAGGGUUCUGCUUAUACUUUUCCUGCAAAUGCCGCAGAGACCACUAAUAAUAGCUCAGAGGUGGACGUAAACCCUCUGUAAUGGCUCGCUGAGCUUCGGUGGGCCCACUUGUGUAGGAAAGGUCUUUUGAGGGCUCGUGUAAGACAGCAACAAGUCGGCAAGAGGCUAUCUUCAGAGGCACUGACCCCUGUCUCCCACCCCAACCCCCUGACAGCCCACUGGCCUCUCUCACAAGACUUCCCUCUAGCCAUGGUUACAUGUGACCUCAUGGCGACUUCCUGACAUGAGUUUAGCCUCAGGCUAAUGUCUAAAGAGUUCAGUCACUAUAAAAACUGGUUUAUUGGAUGCAAAAGAGAAUUAGGACUUCAAAGCCUCUCACCCUGUCAAAUUAGAUUAACAUAUGGAGCAGCGGCUAGGCUAUGACUGGUAUUCGUAGCAUAAGCUAUUUGGUAAGGCUCCGGCUGAGGGUCACAAACAGCUUGUUCACGGUCUUAAGUGAACCACUGCUGCGGUGGUACAGUUUCUCAAAUGAGUGUCACAUGACGUGGGAAACGCAUAUACUGAAACAGGAAAUGUAAAAGGUCAAAUGCCAAGUUCUGCGUAAGGUGAAAUUCAGAUUUUUCUGAAGGAGUUAGGCUCCCUAUUGCACAGAGUAAAACCAAGUUCUUCACAGCUGAGAAGUGGAUGUUAAAAUAUUAUCUCUGACUUCCUUUGAGCAGUAGGUUUAAGAGAAAAUUACAUUUUAAUCCAGGUUAUUUUUUUUUUUAUGAAUCAUCCAAGGAAAGUGGACUUUCAAUGAAAAAUACUCCAGCGAUAAAUAUGAGUGUUAAAAGUUCUGUGUGUGAAUAGGGAUAAAAGCAAAUAUGUCCACCCACGUUAUUGACUCUCUGCGGAUAUUCUAGGAACAAGAGCAGUCAAGGGCCAGGACGCUCACUAGACAUACUGGGUAGUGGCUUUGAAAUGAAACACUUUACGACUUACCAUUUAUUUAUUCGUUUCCUCUAUUUUUUCAGGUUAGAAAGCUGUGCUAACGUGUAAGCAAUGCUUACAUCAGUGAUAAUAUUCUGUUUCCGGGUUUUGUUUCUAAAAACAAAUAGUUCAAAAAUAGAGCAUGGUGCCAGAAAGCUUUUUUUUUUUUUUUUUUUUUUUUUUUUUUUUUUUUUUUUUUUUUUAAGGUAAAUAAAGGCUUUGGCACACAGACCAAAGCCUGAGAAACAGACGGUGUCCAAGGACUUUAUACAAACCAAAUGAGCAAUGCUGUUUGGUCUAAUUGAAUAUUGCAUACAUCUAAGUUCUAGUCAUUUUAUCAUCUUAUUCCCCACACCAUCAGAAAGCCAAUUCUGUAAGAAAUAGUAGGACGUACAUGUCAAAGUCUGCUAUAUGAGAUGGUUCAUCUGCAGCUGAGGUAGAGGAUGCUAUACACCAAACCUCAAGGCCUCACACAUGCUAGACAGGCAGGUGCUCUGCCACUGACUACAUCACCACCCUAUCUGUAAUUUAAAAACAAUGCUAUUUUAGUUCAUAAUUUGUCCAGAAAAAACAGCUGACUUGGCUACAGAGUUAUAUGUAUUAAAAAUGUUUACAAGUUCUAAUACGAGUCAUCAAAUGUCACCAGACUAGCAGAUAAAGCUAAUCCCCAACAUAUCACAAUGAUGACUGAAAGUUUUUAACAGAUGGCAUCAUUUAGAAUCCUUUGAGCAACCAGCUAGUCAUGGUCAGAUGAUCCUCUCUGUACCUUGUUUUACCUAACAUUUGACUAGAAAACCAGUUACCGAAUGGAGUGCUGGGGCUGGCCCUGUUGUCUUGAUUCUAGAUGCUCCUGACUAGACACUUAGCAUGAAGGCACAACCAUACAUUGAAAGAGAAGAUUUGACUGGGGAGCUGUGAUUGACACCAGAAGUCCUUUUAAAUGGGAUGCCCCACAGCCGGCAGCACUCAGGUGUGAAUACAGGUGCUGAGGUCUGGGUGUCAUGUAAGUGUGCUUGGAGCAUUGCUUCACAAGACCAUCUGACUUGCAGGACCACGGCACUCCACAAAACAUAGGUGAGUGGAUCCACCCUGUUGCAGCUGCCCCUGGCUGCCCCAUCCUUCACUGGCAAAGCAACAAAGCUUCUCCUGCCUUGCAACAUGGACUGAAGACCAGUGGUUCUCUAGGAACUUUCCAGGCCUUCACUGAUUGUACUGCUGAGGUACCCAGCCUCCUGGACGGGGCAACGCUUCCCUGUACAGGCAGCCACUGCCUGACUACCCAGCCUGCAUCUGUAAGCGGAGCUAAGAGGUCCCCUUUACAAUAGAUAUCUGCUCUCCUCUAGGCUGACUCCCUGCCUUAUUUAUUGCCUUUGGUGUGGCAACGAAACUGUCUGAGGCCUCCAGACAGUCUAGUCUGCCAAUUGUUCUCAAAAUGGAAGGGAACAGAACACAUAAUAAUUCAGAGUACAGUAAGACCCGAACUACAAAGGACAGAGAGCAGUGACUAAAAUAACCCCAAAUCACUUUCACUGUCAACAGACCAAACAGGACCUAAUCUAAUGGAAAUUAAAAAAAAAAAAGUUCCAAGACACAAAUAGAAAAUAAUCCAUAAUAGUGUAGAAUUUACCCCAAUGGGGAUUUCUACAAACACAAAAUACUCAUGAGUAUGACAAAGGCUUUCCUCCUUUUCUAUUUUAUAGUAUUUAUGACAUUUCCUACACAGCUGCCUCCAUACCGGCCUUUACCAGUGGCCUGAACUCCAAGCAUCCUGAAAGUAGAUGUGUAGGUGGUGCGUUUACAAUGGGACUUGGUGAAUUCACAAAGGAGCAAAAAUUGCAAGCCUUCCCAGUGUACAGUGCGGUCUCUGUAGCCAGGGGAUAAAGAACUUCAACUCUUUAUCACAACCUGGGAAAGCCACUUCCUUCCUUUAGAAGAAGGCUCAGGCCAUGAUAAAGAAACGUGUGGGGCACAAGGAGCCGCGUGUAGUGAGCCAGGCCUUUCUCUAACCAGCAUCCACAAACGUGGUGCACAUCUACCUGACUCCUUAAACCAGAACCCUGCUGGUCCAGGGAGAAGCCCAAACGCUCACUUUCCUCCACUGCAGCUUCCCAAAACUCAGAAAAUACCCUGCAAUAAUUUUAUCAGGCAGUAGAUUUUCCAAGGUGUGCACGUCCUAUGAAAGCUAAGUAGGGGAAAAGCGUGAGCAGACUUGUCAUGGGUUGCUAGGGAGAUGGCUCAGUGGUAAGAGUUUCCUGGGAACACUAGAGGACGUGAGUUCAAAUCUCCACCACCCAUAUGAGAAACCAGACAUAGCCUCAGCUACCUAUAACUCCAGUGCUAGCAGAGGACGUGGUAGAGAGAAGGGAAGAUUCAAAUUACUCACCAGCCUGCCAACAUAGCCAAAACAGCCAGCGACGCACGCACGCACGCACGCUCGCGCAUGGGCAUGUACCACCUCCCUGCCCCGUAUGCUAAAAAAGUCAUCACGGGGGGAAACCCCUUCAAAAUGUAGACAUGAUACAGAAUUCAUAAACAUUGGAAAGGACUUGAUCUCCAGUGUAAACUACAGCAAUCCUUGGAAAUAUUUGGAGACGGGAGGAAACUCGGAUGUCCUCAUGGACCACCUAUAUGGAGCCUAACUUAGAAACUUUAAACCCAAACCAUUUGCCAAGCAGGACUGUAAUACAGCUCCGAAGCUAUUUCAAUUCCUAGAACUCCAUUCAUCUCAACUACAAACUAUCUCCAGCAAGUAAAUGCUGGGGCGGGCAGAGGACAUCUAAAGCAGAGGCUCUGGGCUGUGUUCCUCCAAGGUUCAACCCAUUAGGCAGUGGCACUAUUAGGUAUGGGUUUCAGAAUCAUCCUGUUGCCAACAGAGGCCUACGAUUGGUGAUCACCUCACAAGCAGCAGUUGGGGGCAGAAGAUCUGCUUCCAGAGAUGGUCAUACAGAAUGCCCACAAAAUGUACAUUCGUAAAAAUAAAGGAGGGGAAAGACUAUGAGGAAGAAUGAAGGGGGGAGGAGGGGGGA
rnacentral:sRNA from 1 species